AAGGGAGAAAAAAAAAAAAUCACUGUUCUUUGUAGCUCUAACCAUGAAAGUAAAAGCAACAAAAAUAUCCCCCAGUGAAUCCCUAGAAUCAUUUAAUAAUGUAACCGGUAUCUCUUUAUCCUGCAGGUGUACACUUAAAGCGUUCUGGGAAUAUGAAUCCCUUCUGCACCCUGGAAUCACCAGUCCAGCCAUGCAUGGAGCUGGGGAAAGCAGGCCCUGAAUUGUCUAGAGAGACUUGGUGGAGGAGGCCACGGCCCGCCUUGUCCCUGCCGGGUCCCGGCCAGGAACAACUGGAUGUUGUAAAUGUUUCUCAUCUGGCCUUAAAAUCCAUGAAAGCUGGAAAAUCACAAGGCAUCUGUGCAUAUACUGGUGGAUUUUAAUGAGAGUCCUGUGUUUGGAGCACCAGAAAUAAACCAGCUUCAGAAGCAAAGUUAACAGGAGGAGGAAGCAGAGCUAGAGAUGGAAGGAGACCCAGCCAGCCCGGGCUCCAGUGACAUCGGCUGGUACACGCUUUUGUUUGCUUACGCUUGUUGAACUGAGUUUUUCAUAUGUAACUAACGAAUACUGGCACAUGUAAGCCCGAGAAUUUGCAUUUCUGACAAGAUCCCAGGAUCUGAACGUCUAUGACACUCUUUCGAGCUGACACAGUGAAGAACAUAGAAGGAGAACUCACCCAGUCUGCCAGGGUCACAGAAUGAUCAUACUCAAGAUCUUCCUGGGGAGUCAAUGGCAAAUUUCACUGGGCUAUUUUACAGAUGAAGAAGGAACAUAAAGAAGGUUCUGGGACCCC
rnacentral:lncRNA from 10 species